rnacentral:lncRNA from 1 species
UCAAUUAAAAAAAGUGUUAAAGGUUGAUUCUUUCUUCCUACAAAAUAUAAGCCUAGCUCUUGCUAAAGAAAAUAUAGGAUAUAAAUUCAAGCAUGGCACAGGUCAACGUGUUCAUUGCCACAUGAUUUUUUUCAAGGUUCCAACACUGCCACUCAUAUUACUGUUAAUCCAACUUCAAUAUGUGGCUUUACAUUAACGAUCAACUUUAAGUUCAUAAAUAUAUGGAUAAACUAACUAGGUACAUUCAAGAUGAUGUUCCGUGGUGCAUAUUAUUUGUAAAUAAUGAUGUUUAGCAGAUGAAACUAGUAAAGAAGUUGAUAAAAAAUAAAGUUAUGGAGAACUCUUGAGUCUUCACAGUAAAGUUUUUAGGCUAGGAGUAAGGCAGAAUACAUGCAUUGUGAGUUCAACACUCGCAGAAGGAAGGUGAGGUUCACAAGAUUGAGUUUAAUGCAAUAACUUCAAAUAUUUAAGUUCUAUUCAUGGUUUUAAAUAAAGGCCGUUACAGUAUAUACAGAUUGCUGUUUAUAGGUGAAUAAAAAUUUGUUCCUGUUAACGGCCAUUAUGCCUAUACAUAAUGAUAACAGUCAUUAUACUCAUUACAUAACGAUAUCAGCCAUUAUUUACCAUUAACUAAUAGUAACAGACUGCUACCUCACUUUUUUUUAAAGCCAAAUGGAGGCAACAACUCAUUUUUUUCCUGGAUUGGGUGGUCUUAAGUUGUUGUAUCUCACUUUCUAGUUAAAUAUCUAUAUACAAAUGUCACUUCUUUUCUCUCAAGUUAAGAUCAUCAACUAUCUUUCUAAUUCCACACAUCUAUACCUUGUAAUAUUUGAGUUAAUUGGGUAUCUUAGUUGUACUUGUAUCUUUAACUAUCUCUUCGUUACAUGAACUUUGCAUUUUUAUGAAAAAAUUGCAUGGAUAGACCAUUAUCAUUAUAUUAUGCCUGUUACAUGCUUGUUUCCACUAUAAGCGAUCGUGACUGCAAACAUGGCUGCGACUGUGAUUUCAAUCAUUUGUUCCAUUAUCCAAAAAAAGUAACACUUGACAAUGUAACUUAUAGGAUUGAAAAAGAGGGAUGAAAUGGUGGACUGCGACAAGUGUACUAUAUACAUAUCCAUAAAAAGAGUGUUGUAGAAAUGUGGAUUAGUAAUAUGAUAAUGCAUAAAAUUGGGAAUGACCACAGACAUCAAUAGGGAUAAGAUAAGACAGAGUAGAUUACGAUGGUUUAGUCAUAUCCAACACAAAUAAAUUCCUCAACAUAGAAGCAUGAUAAGUUAGUAGUGGAAAAUAAAGAAUAGUAUCCAAAGAUCGAGAAAAUAUAACUAAAAUUUAAUGGAUGGAUAGCAAACAAUUUAUCUU